UGAACUCAUUGUCACCACAACAAGCCCCUAUGAGCAAGCAGCAUUUGGUUCUAAAACUGAUUGGCGUGUGACAGCAAUCUCAGUGACAAAUCUAUAUCUUAGAGUCAAUCAUAUUUAUGUGAACACUGAGGACAUUAAGGAGACAGGCUACACAUACAUCAUGCCCAAGAACAUUUUGAAGAAGUUUAUUUGCAUAGCAGAUCUUCGGACUCAAA